rnacentral:rRNA from 1 species
GCGCGUAGGUGGCUUGAUAAGCCGGUUGUGAAAGCCCCGGGCUCAACCUGGGAACGGCAUCCGGAACUGUCAGGCUAGAGUGCAGGAGAGGAAGGUAGAAUUCCCGGUGUAGCGGUGAAAUGCGUAGAGAUCGGGAGGAAUACCAGUGGCGAAGGCGGCCUUCUGGACUGACACUGACACUGAGGUGCGAAAGCGUGGGUAGCAAACAGGAUUAGAUACCCUGGUAGUCCACGCCGUAAACGAUGUCGACCAGCCGUUGGGUGCCUAGAGCACUUUGUGGCGAAGUUAACGCGAUAAGUCGACCGCCUGGGGAGUACGGCCGCAAGGUUAAAACUCAAAUGAAUUGACGGGGGCCCGCACAAGCGGUGGAGCAUGUGGUUUAAUUCGAUGCAACGCGAAGAACCUUACCUACCCUUGACAUCUACAGAAGCCGGAAGAGAUUCUGGUGUGCCUUCGGGAACUGUAAGACAGGUGCUGCAUGGCUGUCGUCAGCUCGUGUUGUGAAAUGUUGGGUUAAGUCCCGUAACGAGCGCAACCCUUGUCCUUAUUUGCCAGCGAGUAAUGUCGGGAACUCUAAGGAGACUGCCGGUGACAAACCGGAGGAAGGUGGGGACGACGUCAAGUCAUCAUGGCCCUUACGGGUAGGGCUACACACGUGCUACAAUGGCCGGUACAAAGGGCUGCGAGCUCGCGAGAGUCAGCGAAUCCCUUAAAGCCGGUCUCAGUCCGGAUCGGAGUCUGCAACUCGACUCCGUGAAGUCGGAAUCGCUAGUAAUCGUGAAUCAGAAUG